UGCAUAGGAAUCUACCUAGUAGUAUGGGAUAGCCACUAGAAAUGGUGGGUAAUACUGUAUAAUCCCUGCGGGGGAAAGAUUUAUCGCUAUUAGAUGAGCCUAUGUUAGAUUAGCUAGUUGGUAGGGUAAAGGCCUACCAAGGCAGUGAUCUAUAGCUGGUCUGAGAGGAUGAUCAGCCACACUGGAACUGAGAUACGGUCCAGACUCCUACGGGAGGCAGCAGUGGGGAAUAUUGGACAAUGGGCGCAAGCCUGAUCCAGCUAUGCCGCGUGAGUGAGGAAGGCCUUAGGGUUGUAAAACUCUUUCAGUGGGGAAGAUAAUGACGGUACCCACAGAAGAAGUCCCGGCAAACUCCGUGCCAGCAGCCGCGGUAAUACGGAGGGGGCAAGCGUUGUUCGGAAUUAUUGGGCGUAAAGGGCAUGUAGGCGGUUCGGUAAGUUAAAGGUGAAAUGCCAGGGCUUAACCCUGGAGCUGCUUUUAAUACUGCCGGACUCGAGUCCGGGAGAGGAUAGCGGAAUUCCUAGUGUAGAGGUGAAAUUCGUAGAUAUUAGGAGGAACACCAGUGGCGAAGGCGGCUAUCUGGUCCGAUACU
rnacentral:rRNA from 1 species